rnacentral:rRNA from 1 species
UACGUAGGGUGCGAGCGUUAAUCGGAAUUACUGGGCGUAAAGCGCGCGUAGGCGGGCUUGUGUGUCGAUUGUGAAAGCCCUGGGCUUAACCUGGGAAUGGCAGUCGAAACUGCAAGUCUUGAAUGUCUGAGAGGAUGGCGGAAUUCCCGGUGUAGUAGUGAAAUACGUAGAUAUCGGGAAGAACACCUGAGGCGAAGGCGGCUCACUGGCCCGGUACUGACGCUGAGGUGCGAAAGCGUGGGGAGCAAACAGG